UCAUUUUGCAAGAAGGAGGAAGAAAAAGAAAAGAGCGAUGAGGAUGAAAAACUUCAGUUUAGAGAGUCACCAGUCAUCAGUGAGAAGAGAAGUUUUGAAGAACAAAGUAAAACAGGUAAAAAUAAAAUUGAAUGUGGCUGAAAAAAUCUUUUUAAAAGAAGAAAUGUAAAGAUUUUUCACAUCUGUAGCAGUGAUGUUAUUUUGUGGAGGGAGAGACUGAACGUCUCGAGCAACGAACAUGUUUGUUCUCAUCUGGUCGGCUCUGUUUGUCUCUGUAAAAGGAAGCAUUGCUAAAACGGGUGCCUCUGCCUUGGUGCAAGAACACUGUGGCAAAGGAUACUGUCUUAAUCUCACUGAGCAAGAACUAACAGCAGAGGCUGGACUCUGUGUUGUGAUCCCGUGUUCUUUCACUACUGCUGAUGAGUUUACACCCAAACAUAUAGUUUGGUACAAAUGUAUAGCUCAACACAGGUGCAGUGAAGCUGACAUAAUAUUUCACAGCAACAAAAACACAGACAAAAAAGCU